GGGAGUCUCGGUGUAGUGUCUCCGUCUGAGUCGAUUAAGGAUCUUGUCGAUGUAGGCUUGCUGAUCGAGGACCCUUUAACUGGUCACAUGCCUCAUCAUGGAUAAGCUUUGCCUCGGGCAGACUAAUACCAGAAUAAGAUAACACCCAAUGUGAGUGGAGAGAUGGCGAGAGUAGCGUGUACCCUCCGUGGCAAGAGGCUGGACGGUGGUGUAUUUGUGCUCUCGGUUGGCGUGAACCUAAUCUGGUCUUAAGAACCCCGGUGGCGAGUUGACAUAUGCAAGGGUUAAGUGUUACAUAUGUCGUGUGAUUGUAGAUCCUCAGCUGAGUAUAAUUGAUUCGGAUCGCCGUAACUUCGUGGACAUGAAGACUUGGUCACUGCCCUACACGUAGCAUUCUAGUGAAUAAGAAGGGUUAAUAAGAAAUUCGCUUGUAUAUGUCAAGUGCUUGAACUAGGGUAGAAAGAACUCUAGAUGCAGGUAACUUUACUUAACCUGACAAAUAAAAAUGGAUUUUAAAGAUCCACUCAUAGUAAGCUUUUCUGCAAAACAGAGUCUUUGAUUCUUGAUAAGCCAUACCUUGAAUCCCUCUAGCCAGCAUACCCUUGAGAGUCUUUUCUUUAGUCGGGUAAGUCUUGCUGAGUAAUUCCAUACUCAGAGUUUUAUUCCCUGUUGUUUUUCAGGUUAUAGUUUUGUGCUGCUGAUGAUGGUGUUAAGUGUCGGUGGGCUCGACCUUCUUAUAAGUCUAAGUAACUCUUUUAUACUUCUCAUUGAGGAUGGUCACUUGAGCUAGCAUAUAUUUCAAACUUAUACUUUUGUAAUCACUCUGAUAAAUAUAAUGUAAAAAAUAUGUAACUUGUAAAAUUUGGUAAUAAGAUUUCCGCUGCAAAAAUGUUGGUGUGUGAUUUGUGUUACUUAAUCUUAUGGUCCUGGUUGUAAGUGGUUUAUCCGAGGUCCUUGGGACACUCGGAUAGAUCCUGUUAAGUUAUCUGGUGCACAUGCAUAGCCAUCUGAGGUCUUUGAGACAAGGGCAGGUGCAUGUGGGCCCAAUAACUUGGGAGGUUCUGCCACACCGCCUUUGGUGCCCGUGGGAAGAAAAGGCUGAAUAGAGUAUUUAAUGUUAUUGGUUUUUUUUAUCUUGAUUACUACUUUCCGGCACGAAAAUAAGGAACGAAAAGGAAAAUUGCAUUGACGACCUCUUAUGUCGCGCCGAAGCCGAAGAGAACAAAAGUUAUAACUCACUGGCCGAAGUCAUAUUUUUAGAAAGGGCUGCUAUACUGCCUGCUGCAGGGGUUUCAAAGACAGAGGCUGUUGAAGCUGCCGAAGAUACCCCCUCAGCUUCGUAGAUGAUCAAAACACCCCCUGCAGCAGCCGAAGUUCCCACUAUUCAAAUGGAGAAAUUAAAAACAGAAAGUUCCAAGGCCGAGAAGCAGCCGAAGCCGUAGAGUUCUCCGGUGGGGCAAGGGCUGUCAAGAAUAACAUCUGCUUUAGUAGAGACACCCAAGAAAGGGAGAAGGAUGGCCAGCAUUCUAGGCGUUGUUUUGAGGCCUUCGAAAAUGGCUACUCCUUUUCCUACAAGGAUUUCCAAAGACAAACCUGGAGAGUUGGAAAAAGCUAUCGACGUAAGUGUUGCUCCUGAUUGCACUAAGGCUGGACCUUCGGAAAUAAGGUCAACAGAGCAAAUAAACGAGAGCCUGUCAGAGAAAAUUUCACUGUCGAUACCCAAAGCGGUGUCGACCAGAGAUCUUGAAUUCAUCAUUCGACAUGCUUCGAAAAAACAACUGACACAUAAGCAAAUUGUUGAAGCUCAGCAUUACGCUAAGGAUCUAAAUUAUCCUCAAUAUUGGCUUCUUAAACGAACGUCUAUAAAGUUCGUGAUUUACACUAGCCUAAGAGAACGCCUGUGGAUCUCAAGAAGACGCCUGUAAAAUGUGUGAUUUUCUGGUCUUUCACAUCGGCGGAAACUAGAAACACGAGUAUAUCGGAGGAGAUUGAAGGAGCUAAAAUCAACUCACUAUUUAAAAUUGUAUAGUAAGAUGCUUCUAGCCCUACCAAUUCUCUACUGUCUUCUUCCUCCUAAACAAGACCUAAAAGUAGAUCUGAAAUCACGAGUAAUAAUGUUGUGUGUACUAGUGAUUCCCAUGGUACAAAGUUUUGAUUAGCAAAUAGAUAGAAUAUCAUAAGCCAUGCACCCCUCAUCA